rnacentral:misc_RNA from 1 species
UGGUGCGAAACUUUUCGGGCCGGGACCAAUUGCCGGGACCUAGAAACGGCCCCAGUCCAGGGCACUUCUCCUCACCGUGGACUGAAAGACCCUGGUGACGACAUUUCUUAAAAAGAUGGCGGCGGAUUCGGAGCGGACCGGCGCGACUUUGCAUCUUUCUGAUAUUGAGAAAAACCCCAAAGAAAUGGACGAACGCGGAAAAGAAGCCUCAAAACAACAGCCUACGACUUCCAGGACAGAAAUAUGUUGUAAAACCCUGGCUUUUCUCAUUGUGUUGUGUUUGGUGUGUGUUCAUCUGGCACGGGUUAUUCGAGAAGGAUCUAGUACUUGCCCUGGAAUGUUUCAGUCUGGUCGAUGGAGGGGAAGCUUUUGGCAACCUCAUGGCUGUAUGAUGCAUUCAUAUACAUCAAGUGAAAUGAGGACUUGUUUACACAAUCACCCUGUGGCCUUUAUAGGAGAUUCCAGAACAAGAACUUUGUACUAUGAACUGGUAAAGACGGUUAGCUUGCAUUCAGUUACGGAAGAAGAAAAACCUCACCAUGAUUUGUUUUAUCGUGACAAGACAAGCAAUACAAGUGUGUCAUUCUACUGGCAACCAAUGGUCAAUCUAUCUAUGAAGGGAUUGUAUGAUGAUUGGACCAAGAAUCCAAACAAAUGCCCUCAUCUCAUUAUUAGUGGAAGUGGAACAUGGACUAUAAAACACCAAGGACUAGAUGCAGUCAUGAAUUAUGGAUAUAAUUUAACAAAGGUCAAAGGGUCAAUGGAGGCGUUAGUGGCCAAAAAAAGAAAUGAAAGCCAAAUGCUGCUCAAGAAAACAAGUCCUUUUCCACCUUCUCCAGUAAUUGUCUGGGUUCAGCAAGAGCCAGUUGUGGAAUCAAAGCUCCAUGAGGCACGCAAAAUGAUUACAAAUGAAAAGAUUGAACUAUUUAAUUCUAUUGCUGGAGAAAUGUUCCAGGAAGAAAACUCCUCUGUGACUGUGAUGUGGACAUCAUUUCAUGCAGCUGAGAAAAAGCCUGAGAUAUCAACAGAUGGACUUCACUAUGGACCAUCAAUAACAAGCCUGGAGCUGAAUUUGAUAUUGAAUUAUUACUGUAAUCAAUAUCUUCAAGUAUCUGAUGCUACCUGUUGUGUGCCAGCACCGAGACUAACACAUCUGCAGCGGAACACAUUUGCAGUUUUUAUCACAUGCAUUGUGCUGUUUUUGAUUAUGUUUGUCUGUCAACAUCUGUGGCCGGCAGAACCCAAAGGAUCUGGUGGUGCUGAACCAACCACGCCUGGAGGCCGUCCCAGCUCCUCAUUACGCUGGGUCUAUUCAGACAGGAUGUACCCUGUUAUGAAGAGUUUGUUCAAAAUGGGCCUCAUAAUGUUUUACUUUUACCUCUGUGACAGGACAAACUUGUUUUUCAAAGAACAGAAAGAAUACAGUCAUCUCGUUUUCAUGUUAGUCCUGAUUGUUUUCUUGGCACUUGGUGCGUGGACCUGGGUACCAGCUCAGCAGACUGUCGUGUUAAACAGAGAUCAGACAAAUGAGUGGAAGGGCUGGAUGCAGUUGGUUAUUCUCUUGUAUCAUUAUAUUGGAGCAAGCAAGGUUCUUCCAAUCUACGUGUUCAUAAGACUUCUUGUAGCUUCGUAUCUUUUCCUUUCUGGUUAUGGACAUUUCUCAUUCUUUUGGAAUAAAGGAGAUUUCGGACUGUACAGAUUUUGUCAGGUUAUGACAAGAAUGAAUAUCCUUGUAGCUGUUCUUUGCCUGAUCAUGGGUCGUGCGUAUCAGUUUUAUUACUUUGUUCCUCUGGUAUCGUUUUGGUUUGUUGUGAUUUAUGCUGUUAUAGCAGUUUGGCCCAGAGUCACUGCUGCUCUUGUUAAAGAAAACCACAUGCAUUACGUUGUAGUAUUGCUGAAGUUAUUCUUUCUCUUUGGUGUAAUUUCUAUGAUCUGGAGUUCACCAAUGUUAUGCCAGUGGAUAUUUUCCCAAUGGGCAAUAAAAGAAUUAUUUAUUGAUGAAAAUGACAGUGUUCGUGAAUGGUGGUUCCGGUCUUGGCUGGACAGAUAUAUUGCGCUUUUUGGAAUGGUGUUAGCCUUUGCAUACUACACUGCUAAAAAUUUCAAAAUGUUCGACGACAGCAACAAAAGAACUUUGUUCUCCAGACCUGUAGGCGUUGCCUGUCUUAUCUUUGCUAUUGUGGCUCUUCUGGUAAGAUAAAACAAACCGAAAAAAAAGCGAAAAAAGUAACAAAAAAAAGAAGAUAAAUCAGAACCAUAUUUUCUUGAUCUUAGAGAACUAAAUAAAGAAAGAAAUGGAAACUCAUCAAAUCUGUAUUUAACCUUCGACGGAUACAAGUAGCUGGUGUCAAACGCGGGGAAACACAGGCGCAAAAAGACUUGUUACAAGUGCGGGGUAAAAAAUGUAGGAAAGCGCGGCUAAACGUGUAAUGGGCGCCGAGCACGAGGAAAGGUAUAACGGGUGCCAAGCGCGGCAUAACGUAUAACGGGUGCCAAGCUUGGGGUAACGUAACCGGUGCCAAUACGCGGGAAAUCGUCUUAUCGGUGCCAAGCGCGGGAAAACAUAUAACGGGUGCCAAGCGCGGGAAAACUUUGCCUUCGCUCCUGAUUGGUCAGUGCACGUUGAAAAAGUGAAGUUACUAAGUUUUAUUUUUGUCUUUUGCAGAGUUACGCUAUUCAGGCUUUGACGUGUAGAUCAAAAGUCUCUUGUAACGAGACACAUUCAACAGUAUCAUUUAUACCUAUAUUAGCCUUUUUACUCC